rnacentral:rRNA from 1 species
UACGAAGGGGGCUAGCGUUGUUCGGAAUUACUGGGCGUAAAGCGCACGUAGGCGGAUAUUUAAGUCAGGGGUGAAAUCCCGCAGCUCAACUGCGGAACUGCCUUUGAUACUGGGUAUCUUGAGUAUGGAAGAGGUAAGUGGAAUUGCGAGUGUAGAGGUGAAAUUUCGUAGAUAUUCGCAGGAACACCAGUGGCGAAGGCGGCUUACUGGUCCAUAACUGACGCUGAGGUGCGAAAGCGUGGGGGAGCA